rnacentral:rRNA from 1 species
CCCAGACUCCUACGGGAGGCAGCAGUGGGGGAUAUUGCACAAUGGGGGGAACCCUGAUGCAGCGACGCCGCGUGGGUGAAGGAGCGUUUCGGCGCGUAAAGCCCUAUCGGCAGGGAAGAAGGAGGACGGUACCUGACUAAGAAGCCCCGGCUAACUACGUGCCAGCAGCCGCGGUAAUACGUAGGGGGCAAGCGUUAUCCGGAUUUACUGGGUGUAAAGGGGGCGCAGACGGCAGCGCAAGCCAGGAGUGAAAGCCCGGGGCCCAACCCCGGGACUGCUCUUGGAACUGCGCGGCUGGAGUGCAGGAGGGGCAGGCGGAAUUCCUGGUGUAGCGGUGAAAUGCGUAGAUAUCAGGAGGAACACCGGUGGCGAAGGCGGCCUGCUGGACUGCGACUGACGUUGAGGCUCGAAAGCGUGGGGAGCAAACAGGAUUAGAUACCCCGGUAC